rnacentral:rRNA from 1 species
UUUUCGGUCAGGGAUGGGCUCGCGGCCUAUCAGCUUGUUGGUGGGGUAACGGCCUACCAAGGCGAUUACGGGUAGCCGGCCUGAGAGGGCGACCGGCCACACUGGGACUGAGACACGGCCCAGACUCCUGCGGGAGGCAGCAGUGGGGAAUAUUGCGCAAUGGGCGAAUGCCUGACGCAGCGACGCCGCGUGGGGGAUGACGGCCUUCGGGUUGUAAACCUCUUAUACCACCAACGCAGGCUCCGGGUUCUCUCGGGGUUGACGGUAGGUGGGGAAUAAGGACCGGCUAACUACGUGCCAGCAGCCGCGGUAAUACGUAGGGUCCGAGCGUUGUCCGGAAUUAUUGGGCGUAAAGAGCUCGUAGGCGGCGUGUCGCGUCUGCUGUGAAAGACCGGGGCUUAACUCCGGUUCUGCAGUGGAUACGGGCAUGCUAGAGGUAGGUAGGGGAGACUGGAAUUCCUGGUGUAGCGGUGAAAUGCGCAGAUAUCAGGAGGAACACCGGUGGCGAAGGCGGGUCUCUGGGCCUUACCUGACGCUGAGGAGCGAAAG